ensembl:lincRNA
CUUUAGGUGUAAGCCUGUGAAUCUGCUCACAUAACUGAGUGGCUGUAUCAUGGACAAAAAGGUACUACAGCUUUAGCUGCUUUGGCUGGUUGGAGGCCGCAGGAGCCGUCUGUGUGUCUCACAUACUUUCUUUCUAAUGUUACUUCCAAGGUCAGGGGCAACAGCAAGGCGUAGUUGAUAAGCCAUAGGGCUGAAGGUCAGACGGAGGUCAUGUGCUUCCUCAUUUCCUUGACUAUUUGGAUCCAUCAGGUAGGUUCUGAGUGUGUGGAAGGGAUGUCACUGCCAUCUACUCCUGCCGCUGCUUCUCCCAGGGUUAGGAUGAACCUUCACUUGAGCCUCUCCCCUCCACCACCUCUUCAAAUGAUGCUCGUGAAAUGAGCAGUUGUUCAUCCGUACGUUUAGACGCCCCUGGGCUGUGCUUACUGGUGGACAGGGACGCUGUGCGUGCCUCAGAGGUUAGGACCUGAAUAGUGAAGUCACAGGGGCCAGUCUUCUGCUGUCUGUCCCAGGCCGUCUUUGAGGAGCUGGGUAGGUGGGACAGGACAGACACUUACUUACUAAGGAGAAUGAGCUGGGGAUUCUGCACCCAGCGCCUAGCAAAAACGUGCUAAAGAACUCUUAGACAUUCCUCAUUCCUCUGAGUUCUAAGCCUGGCAACAGUGGUAGUUUCCUCUCCGUCCUCUUGUCGCUGAAUCUUCUCUCCUCACUCCCCCUUCUGAUGUCCGUGUCUCCCUUCACCUCCAUGUCUGACACCUGCCCUUUCGGGUCUGAACUUCCCCAUCCGAUUUGGAGUGAGGCAGCUCUUCUGAUUUUGCCAACUCCUUCCUCCCCGUUGCCCAGGGGCCAAACCAGGGUGGAAAAUGAGCGUAGGAGUAAAUGAUGAUGUGUAUUCCGCUACACCUUCCCUGGCCUGCUUAAUCUCCUGAUCCCCCACACCCAGUAAGGAUGGCAAUGACUGACACAAGCAUUAAAGAUAUGGAAACGUCCCUCCUGAAUGAUCUCACUAAUGCCAAGUCUCUGGAUUGCUGGAGCAUCUGAAUGCCAGAAUGAAAUAUUUGGAAUCUUCUCCAGAUGUUUCAGACCACCGGAAGUCCUGCUGCAUGCUGCCCCAGGAAAACUAGGGACCUGCCUCCUCAGACCUGCCCAGCACGUAACGGGCCUCCCAGAGGGCAAGGGUCUCUGCAUCAGCACAAUCCCAUUACUGCCCCCAGCUGUGACUCUGCCCUCUCUGUUAACUCCUGCCCAGGGUUUCUCUGCAAGACAGAGCUCCCACUCACGACCUUAGAAGGUUCUGGGGAGCAGCAGCCACACUUUGGUCUAGGGAAGCAUUAGCUGGGGAUGAAGAGGAUAGGCAGCGCCCUUGGGUGAGGUGCCUUUCAGAGAGAAGCCCAUGGCUCCCAAUGUGACCCCAAAGCACAUGCAGUUUAAAUAUUCACACAGCCUCCCUAGAAAACUCGCUGGCAGGAACCAUGUGUGCAAGUCCCUGGCCAGAUCAAUCCCUACCCUGCUGAAUUUCUGUCUCUGUAAGUGUUUGGCUUCUUGAGCCUCAGCCUCCUAUGCUGAAAGUGCUAACCUUUCCCAGAAGAGUCUUUUCCGACAGAAUGGUCCGUACAGCCCCGAGAUCCCAUGAUGGGAUAGGGAUGCAGGCAACCUGGGAGAUGACCCUGAGCCAGGGAGCACACUGUGCCCACCUGUGCACACUGGAUCCACAUGCAGGCACCCUCCCCACAGCCCUGCCGGCACAGCUGGGCAGCAGCAGGCGGCCUCUUCAUGUAAAUUAAAUAAAACAACCUUUUUAUCUGUUGGCU